CUUUCUUUGCUGGCGACCGGCGCACGGGUGAGUAACACGUAUCCAACCUGCCCUUUACUCGGGGAUAGCCUUUCGAAAGAAAGAUUAAUACCCGAUAGCAUAAUGAUUCCGCAUGGUUUCAUUAUUAAAGGAUUCCGGUAAAGGAUGGGGAUGCGUUCCAUUAGGUUGUUGGUGAGGUAACGGCCCACCAAGCCUUCGAUGGAUAGGGGUUCUGAGAGGAAGGUCCCCCAUAUUGGAACUGAGACACGGUCCAA
rnacentral:rRNA from 1 species